CUACGGGUCGCAGCAGUGAGGAAUAUUGCACAAUGGGGGGAACCCUGAUGCAGCAACGCCGCGUGGAGGAUGACGCAUUUCGGUGUGUAAACUCCUUUUAUAUGUCAAGAAAAUGACGGUAGCAUAUGAAUAAGCACCGGCUAACUCCGUGCCAGCAGCCGCGGUAAUACGGAGGGUGCAAGCGUUACUCGGAAUCACUGGGCGUAAAGGACGCGUAGGCGGGUUGGGAAGUCAGGUGUGAAAUCCUACAGCUUAACUGUAGAACUGCACUUGAAACUUCUAAUCUAGAGUAUGGGAGGGGGAGAGGGAAUUAGUGGUGUAGGGGUAAAAUCCGUAGAUAUCACUAGGAAUACCUAAAGCGAAGGCGAUCUCCUGGAACAUUACUGACGCUAAGGCGUGAAAGCGUGGGGAGCAAACAGGAUUAGAUACCCCUGUAGUC
rnacentral:rRNA from 1 species